rnacentral:rRNA from 1 species
CCUACGGGUGGCAGCCGUGGGGAAUAUUGCGCAAUGGGGGCAACCCUGACGCAGCAACGCCGCGUGAUUGAAGAAGGCCUUCGGGGUGUAAAGAUCUUUAAUUGAGGACGAAAACAAUGACGGUACCCAAAGAAUAAGCUCCGGCUAACUACGUGCCAGCAACCGCGGCAAUACGUAGGGAGCAAGCAUUAGUCGGAUGUACUGGGUGUAAAGGUCGAGUGGGCGGGCUGGGAAGUGUGGAGUGAAAUCACGGGGCUUAACCCCGGAACUGCUAUUCAAACUACUGGUAUUGAGUGAUGGAGAGGCAGGCGGAAUUCCGUGUGUAGCGGUGAAAUGCGUAGAUAUACGGAGGAACACCAGUGGCGAAGGCAGCCUGCUGGACAUUAACUGACGCUGAGGAGCGAAAGCGUGGGGAGCAAACAGGAUUAGAUACCCGGGUAGUC